rnacentral:rRNA from 1 species
AUUGAACGCUGGCGGCAUGCCUAACACAUGCAAGUCGAACGGGGGUGUAGCAAUACAUCUAGUGGCGGACGGGUGAGGAAUACAUAGGAAUUUGCCCUUAAGUGGGGGAUAGUCCGGGGAAACUCGGUUUAAUACCGCAUGAUCUCGUGAGAGCAAAGCAGGGGACCGCAAGGCCUUGCGCUUUUGGAGAAGCCUAUGUCGGAUUAGCUAGUUGGUAGGUAAUGCCUACCAAGGCGACGAUCCGUAACUGGUCUGAGAGGAUGAUCAGUCAACACCGGAACUGAGACACGGUCCGGACUCCUACGGGAGGCAGCGAGUGGGGAAUAUUGGACAA